rnacentral:rRNA from 1 species
UGGGGAAUAUUCCACAAUGGACGAAAGUCUGAUGGAGCGACGCCGCGUGAGGGAUGAAGGUUUUCGGAUCGUAAACCUCUGUUAUAAGGAAAGAACGUUACAUAUGCUAAUAUCAUGUGUAAAUGACGGUACCUUAUGAGGAAGCCACGGCUAACUACGUGCCAGCAGCCGCGGUAAUACGUAGGUGGCAAGCGUUGUCCGGAAUUAUUGGGUGUAAAGGGCAGGUAGGCGGAUAUAUAAGUUUUGUGUUAAAGGCAUCGGCUUAACCGGUGUAAGGCAUAGGAUACUGUAUAUCUGGAAUGCGGUUGAGGAAGACAGAAUUCCUGGUGUAGCGGUGGAAUGCGCAGAGAUCAGGAGGAAUACCAAAGGCGAAGGCAGUCUUCUAAGCCGAUAUUGACGCUAAACUGCGAAGGUGUGGGUAUCAAACA